AGCGAACGCUGGCGGCGUGCUUAACACAUGCAAGUCGAGUGCGUAGCCCUUUGUAGCAAUACAGAGGGUGGGCGCACGGCGCACGGGUGAGUAACACGUGGGUAACCUGCCCUUGGUGGGGAAUAACCCGCGAAGCGGGGCUAAUUCCGCAUAACAUUCCGGGGACACAUGUUCUCGGACUCAAAGGAGUGAUUCGCCGGAGGGAGGGGCCCGCGCCCGAUUAGCUUUGUUGGUAGGGUAACGGCCACCAAGGCUUUGAUCGGUAGCCGGUCUGAGAGGAUGGCCGGCCACACUGGAACUGAGACACGGUCCAGACUCCUACGGGAGGCAGCAGUGGGGAAUCUUGCGCAAUGGGCGAAAGCCUGACGCAGCGACGCCGCGUGGGGAUGAAGCUUCUCGG
rnacentral:rRNA from 1 species